GAUGAACGCUAGCGGCAGGCUUAACACAUGCAAGUCGAGGGGUAUAGUUCUUCGGAGCUAGAGACCGGCGUACGGGUGCGUAACGCGUAUGCAAUCUACCUUUUGCAGAGGGAUAGCCCAGAGAAAUUUGGAUUAAUACCUCAUGGUAUGUGAGAAUAGCAUCAUUUUCACAUUAAAGUCACAACGGCAAAAGAUGAGCAUGCGUCCCAUUAGCUAGUUGGUAAGGUAACGGCUUACCAAGGCAACGAUGGGUAGGGGUCCUGAGAGGGAGAUCCCCCACACUGGUACUGAGACACGGACCAGACUCCUACGGGAGGCAGCAGUGAGGAAUAUUGGACAAUGGGCGCAAGCCUGAUCCAGCCAUGCCGCGUGCAGGAUGACGGUCCUAUGGAUUGUAAACUGCUUUUGUACAGGAAGAAACACUGGUUCGUGAACCAGCUUGACGGUACUGUAAGAAUAAGGAUCGGCUAACUCCGUGCCAGCCGCCGCCGUAAGAC
rnacentral:rRNA from 1 species